GAACCGACUAAUGUUGAAAAAUUAGCGGAUGACUUGUGGCUGGGGGUGAAAGGCCAAUCAAACCGGGAGAUAGCUGGUUCUCCCCGAAAGCUAUUUAGGUAGCGCCUCGUGAAUUCAUCUUCGGGGGUAGAGCACUGUUUCGGCAAGGGGGUCAUCCCGACUUACCAACCCGAUGCAAACUGCGAAUACCGGAGAAUGUUAUCACGGGAGACACACGGCGGGUGCUAACGUCCGUCGUGAAGAGGGAAACAACCCAGACCGCCAGCUAAGGUCCCAAAGUCAUGGUUAAGUGGGAAACGAUGUGGGAAGGCCCAGACAGCCAGGAUGUUGGCUUAGAAGCAGCCAUCAUUUAAAGAAAGCGUAAUAGCUCACUGGUCGAGUCGGCCUGCGCGGAAGAUGUAACGGGGCUAAACCAUGCACCGAAGCUGCGGCAGCGACGCUUAUGCGUUGUUGGAUAGGGGAGCGUUCUGUAAGCCUGUGAAGGUGUACUGUGAGGUAUGCUGGAGGUAUCAGAAGUGCGAAUGCUGACAUAAGUAACGAUAAAGCGGGUGAAAAGCCCGCUCGCCGGAAGACCAAGGGUUCCUGUCCAACGUUAAUCGGGGCAGGGUGAGUCGACCCCUAAGGCGAGGCCGAAAGGCGUAGUCGAUGGGAAACAGGUUAAUAUUCCUGUACUUGGUGUUACUGCGAAGGGGGGACGGAGAAGGCUAUGUUGGCCGGGCGACGGUUGUCCCGGUUUAAGCGUGUAGGCUGGUUUUCCAGGCAAAUCCGGAAAAUCNAGGCUGAGGCGUGAUGACGAGGCACUACGGUGCUGAAGCAACAAAUGCCCUGCUUCCAGGAAAAGCCUCUAAGCAUCAGGUAACAUCAAAUCGUACCCCAAACCGACACAGGUGGUCAGGUAGAGAAUACCAAGGCGCUUGAGAGAACUCGGGUGAAGGAACUAGGCAAAAUGGUGCCGUAACUUCGGGAGAAGGCACGCUGAUAUGUAGGUGAAGCGACUUGCUCGUGGAGCUGAAAUCAGUCGAAGAUACCAGCUGGCUGCAACUGUUUAUUAAAAACACAGCACUGUGCAAACACGAAAGUGGACGUAUACGGUGUGACGCCUGCCCGGUGCCGGAAGGUUAAUUGAUGGGGUUAGCGGUAACGCGAAGCUCUUGAUCGAAGCCCCGGUAAACGGCGGCCGUAACUAUAACGGUCCUAAGGUAGCGAAAUUCCUUGUCGGGUAAGUUCCGACCUGCACGAAUGGCGUAAUGAUGGCCAGGCUGUCUCCACCCGAGACUCAGUGAAAUUGAACUCGCUGUGAAGAUGCAGUGUACCCGCGGCAAGACGGAAAGACCCCGUGAACCUUUACUAUAGCUUGACACUGAACAUUGAGCCUUGAUGUGUAGGAUAGGUGGGAGGCUUUGAAGUGUGGACGCCAGUCUGCAUGGAGCCGACCUUGAAAUACCACCCUUUAAUGUUUGAUGUUCUAACGUUGGCCCCUNAUCGGGGUUGCGGACAGUGUCUGGUGGGUAGUUUGACUGGGGCGGUCUCCUCCUAAAGAGUAACGGAGGAGCACGAAGGUUGGCUAAUCCUGGUCGGACAUCAGGAGGUUAGUGCAAUGGCAUAAGCCAGCUUGACUGCGAGCGUGACGGCGCGAGCAGGUGCGAAAGCAGGUCAUAGUGAUCCGGUGGUUCUGAAUGGAAGGGCCAUCGCUCAACGGAUAAAAGGUACUCCGGGGAUAACAGGCUGAUACCGCCCAAGAGUUCAUAUCGACGGCGGUGUUUGGCACCUCGAUGUCGGCUCAUCACAUCCUGGGGCUGAAGUAGGUCCCAAGGGUAUGGCUGUUCGCCAUUUAAAGUGGUACGCGAGCUGGGUUUAGAACGUCGUGAGACAGUUCGGUCCCUAUCUGCCGUGGGCGCUGGAGAACUGAGGGGGGCUGCUCCUAGUACGAGAGGACCGGAGUGGACGCAUCACUGGUGUUCGGGUUGUCAUGCCAAUGGCACUGCCCGGUAGCUAAAUGCGGAAGAGAUAAGUGCUGAAAGCAUCUAAGCACGAAACUUGCCCCGAGAUGAGUUCUCCCUGACUCCUUGAGAGUCCUGAAGGAACGUUGAAGACGACGACGUUGAUAGGCCGGGUGUGUAAGCGCAGCGAUGCGUUGAGCUAACCGGUACUAAUGAACCGUGAGGCUUAACCUU
rnacentral:rRNA from 1 species